AUUGAACGCUGGCGGCAGGCCUAACACAUGCAAGUCGAGCGGAUGAAGGGAGCUUGCUCCUGGAUUCAGCGGCGGACGGGUGAGUAAUGCCUAGGAAUCUGCCUUGUCGUGGGGGAUAACGUCCGGAAACGGGCGCUAAUCCCGCAUACGUCCUGAGGGAGAAAGUGGGGGAUCUUUGGACCUAACGCUAUCUGAUGACCCUAGGUCGGAUUAGCUAGUUGGUGGGGUAAAGGCCUACCAAGGCGACGAUCCGUAACUGGUCUGAGAGGAUGAUCAGUCACACUGGAACUGAGACACGGUCCAGACUCCUACGGGAGGCAGCAGUAGGGAAUAUUGGACAAUGGGCGAAAGCCUGAUCCAGCCAUGCCGCGUGUGUGAAGAAGGUCUUCGGAUUGUAAAGCACUUUAAGUUGGGAGGAAGGGCAGUAAGUUAAUACCUGGCUGUUUUGACGUUACCAACAGAAUAAGCACCGGCUAACUUCGUG
rnacentral:rRNA from 1 species